GAAGUCAGACCUAAAGAGAAGAAGAAGGAAAAGAAGACUUUGUUUAGGAAGAUAUUCAAGUCUGAUAAGGAGAUUAAAACAGAAGUGAAAGAGACACCGAUGAGACAAGAUGAGAUUCUUCCAGAGUGUCCUAAACCAGAACCUGAGCUGAAGGAACCAAAUUGGCCAAAGGAGCUUCUUAUAGACUCCGAUACUGAUUCUGAUUGUGUUUCAGGGGUCUCUUGGAGCGAAUCUAUAGGCAGUUUGCUUGACCUCGCUGGGAAUACUUGGUUAUCCGAUGAAGAAGAAGUCAAAGCAUCACCAGGUACAGUAUUUAACACUGACUUAUAACCAUUUCUGUGUUUAGGACUGUUUGCUGACAAGAUAUGUAGUCAGUAAUACAAUAUCCAUGUUUGCAGGAGGAUUAUCUAACAUUUUUUUGGUCUUUUAGAAGAUCCCGUGUCAGAAACGACGGAAACAGACAGGACAGAAAGAAAAGAGAGCUCAGACAACCUCGUUCAUACUUUCAGAGAUUCCAGAGAGACUUCACUUGAAGUGAUAGACUUGAGCUCUGGAUUUUCAGAAGAAGCUGGAAUUGAAUCACCAGAAUGUCCAGUAUCAACGACGCCAGAAGAAAUUGUCUCGGCUAUGUCCGUAGGUGCUGGAAAUAUCCUGCCUUUGCAGGAGGUUCAUUCAAUAGAAACUUCAGACACCUUGAAAGAUGAACCAAGUGCGGGUGUAAUGAAUAUUACAUUUGUCCGAGAAGCCAAGGAACCUGCAGUUUGUCCCAAGCCACAAAUCUCUGAGAAACACCCUAGAAUUUUAUUUGGAAGACGUUCUCUGCCAGACUUGAAUUACAUGAAUAUGCAGAAAUGGAGUUCUGAGAUGAGCGGGGUAUCUUGUGUUUUAUCUUCCAAUGUAAGUAUAUGCCCCUUAGUCUCAGGUCUUCCUGUAACCAUAGAACUGAUAGAGAUUUUCAACUCAUUGGGACUCAUUUAUCAACACUGGGCAAAAUUGCCCAUGGGAAGCCAGCUGCAGGUAGAACAGUGAAAGCAGC